rnacentral:snoRNA from 1 species
AGCCUCCUGGCGCUUACCACAAACUGUGUUCUUACACUGACUGUAUAGAAAGAGGAGUUGAAGUAAACCCACCCCAUGUGCACCUCAGCCCAGGCGCUGUGCUUUAGUCUGUAUUGUGAAUGGGAGACAGAG